GACGAACGCUGGCGGCGUGCUUAACACAUGCAAGUCGAACGGUAAGGCCCUUCGGGGUACACGAGUGGCGAACGGGUGAGUAACACGUGGGUGAUCUGCCCUGCACUUCGGGAUAAGCCUGGGAAACUGGGUCUAAUACCGGAUAGGACAACUCCCGCCAUGGGUGGCGGUGGAAAGCUUUUGCGGUGUGGGAUGGGCCCGCGGCCUAUCAGAUUGUUGGUGGGGUGAUGGCCUACCAAGGCGACGACGGGUAGCCGGCCUGGGAGGGUGACCGGCCACACUGGGACUGAGAUACGGCCCAGACUCCUACGGGUGGCAGCAGUGGGGAAUAUUGCACAAUGGGCGCAAGCCUGAUGCAGCGACGCCGCGUGAGGGAUGACGGCCUUCGGGUUGUAAACCUCUUUCAGCACCGACGAAGCGCAAGUGACGGUAGGUGCAGAAGAAGGACCGGCCAACUACGUGCCAGCAGCCGCCGUAAUAC
rnacentral:rRNA from 1 species